UUCUAGCUCUAAGUUCCCGCCUCGGGUAGCCCCUGGGCGGGGCCACAAGCGGGAACGAGCUUCCUUUCCCCACCGCCUGCCCUCGCUGGGCCCCAGGCCACCUCUGGGCGGGGCACUGCCAGCUGUGCGGCGGGGUAAACAAAGAGAGGGGUGCGGCGGGGCUAGGGCGGCGGCUCCGCAUUCCGGACCCUUGGGGAGCCCCGCGCCCGCUGAGCCAAAGAAGGCUGGACGUAUCCAGAGAGGGCACUAACCUCCUCUUCUCCCCCGGGGCUGCCGAGAACAGCUGGAGACAGCUGUGCUGUGGGGAGGAAGGGGCAGGCGGCCGGGGCCGUCCAGGAAGGCGUGUGUGGGAUUCUGGGACACACACUGAGGAGAGGAAAGCACAGACGGAGCCCCUUCAGUUUGGAAGGGCCCUCCCCUGCCCUCCUGCCCUCAGCUCCCUGAGGGCUCCCAUACAAGGGGCGGGCCACUAGAUGGGCACGGACAACUCCAUGCCCCACUCGCCUGGAGGAAAGACAAGCUGAGGACAUCGGAGUCCUGCCGAGGCCUCAUCCCUCCGUUCUCGGCUGUGAAAGAAUUCGAUCAGAAUAUGCUCCGUGACUGGUGUAGAUGCUGGAAGCCUACCCAGGUGUCAGCUUCUCACGCGAGAGACUAAGGAUUCUGGGGACUGAGCGGUAAUCCUGCACUAGGCCCCAGGUCGAGCCCUUCUAAGGGCCCCAGGCCCACUUCUCAAACGAUUUGCCCCUUCUGAAGGCCCAGUGAUUCAGGGUUCCAGGCUCAACAAGCAAAGUCUUCUUGCUCAGAAGCCUGCAGCCUCUGCCUCUCCGAGGACCAGGCUCCCCCUGAGCCCAACCCGCAGACUCUGCUCCCAGAGGCCUCCCCUUUGCUCAUCUCCUUCACACCUCCCCACCGGCCGCGCCUAAAGAAUACUGGACUCCCUUCCUUUUGUGAAUUAAAGGCUUCCAAGAGCACCCUCCCACUGCCAGAAUUGCAAGCUCUCUCCUUAGAGAAUUCCAGUCCCGUCCUUUUCUAGUGGAGAGUGUGCAGGACGGACGGGAACCCCUUCACCCUCCCCGUUGCAGUGAGACACACGAACUGACUCACAGCCACACGCACACCGUUACUGCCACCUACAGAAAUCCACGCCUCCGUCCAACGCUAACACCCAGAAAUCAGGGCCCACCCACCGUCCAGGGACACACAACCUCUUGGAACAGUAACGACGACACUCAGGCCUCACUCACGAGCAUUCGUGGGCUGUCUGAGCGCAGUGAUGUAGUGCCCGGCUCUGCCCCAUUAAUGUGCUGUUUUGUGUAGCCCCCCGCCGUCUCUGUUAACAUAGCCCUUCAGGACAGCGUACUCGUGCCCCCAUUGCCCCCCUUCCCCAUUACUCUCCCUCCUACC